GUUUGAUCCUGGCUCAGAUUGAACGCUGGCGGCAUGCGUAACACAUGCAAGUCGAACGGUGUUUGGUGCUUGCACCAGACAUAGUGGCGGACGGGUGAGUAAUGCGUAGGAAUCUGUCUUAGAGAGGGGGACAACCCGAGGAAACUUGGGCUAAAACCGCAUAUUCUCGAGAGAGGAAAGCAGGGGACCGGAAACGGCCUUGUGCUCUAAGGUGAGCCUACGUCGGAUUAGCUAGUUGGUAGGGUAAAGCCUACCAAGGCGAUGAUCUGUAGCUGGUCUGAGAGGACGGACAGCCACACUGGGACUGAGACACGGCCCAGACUCCUACGGGAGGCAGCAGGUGGGGAAUUAUUGGACAAUGGGGGGAACCCUGAUCCAGCGAUGCCGCGUGUGUGAAGAAGGCCUGCGGGUUGUAAAGCACUUUCAGUGGGAAAGAGAAGCGUCUUGUGAAUAAUGGGACGUGGAGACGUUACUCACAGAAGAAGCACCGGCUAACUCUGUG
rnacentral:rRNA from 1 species